rnacentral:rRNA from 1 species
GACGAACGCUGGCGGCGUGCUUAACACAUGCAAGUCGAACGGAAAGGCCCUGCUUUUGUGGGGUGCUCGAGUGGCGAACGGGUGAGUAACACGUGAGUAACCUGCCCUUGACUUUGGGAUAACUUCAGGAAACUGGGGCUAAUACCGGAUAGGAGCUCCUGCUGCAUGGUGGGGGUUGGAAAGUUUCGGCGGUUGGGGAUGGACUCGCGGCUUAUCAGCUUGUUGGUGGGGUAGUGGCUUACCAAGGCUUUGACGGGUAGCCGGCCUGAGAGGGUGACCGGCCACAUUGGGACUGAGAUACGGCCCAGACUCCUACGGGAGGCAGCAGUGGGGAAUAUUGCACAAUGGGCGGAAGCCUGAUGCAGCAACGCCGCGUGCGGGAUGACGGCCUUCGGGCUGUAAACCGCUUUCGCCUGUGACGAAGCGUGAGUGACGGUAAUGGGUAAAGAAGCACCGGCUAACUACGUGCCAGCAGCCGCGGUGAUACGUAGGGUGCGAGCGUUGUCCGGAUUUAUUGGGCGUAAAGGGCUCGUAGGUGGUUGAUCGCGUCGGAAGUGUAAUCUUGGGGCUUAACCCUGAGCGUGCUUUCGAUACGGGUUGACUUGAGGAAGGUAGGGGAGAAUGGAAUUCCUGGUGGAGCGGUGGAAUGCGCAGAUAUCAGGAGGAACACCAGUGGCGAAGGCGGUUCUCUGGGCCUUUCCUGACGCUGAGGAGCGAAAGCGUGGGGAGCGAACAGGCUUAGAUACCCUGGUAGUCCACGCUGUAAACGGUGGGUACUAGGUGUGGGGUCCAUUCCACGGGUUCCGUGCCGUAGCUAACGCUUUAAGUACCCCGCCUGGGGAGUACGGCCGCAAGGCUAAAACUCAAAGGAAUUGACGGGGCCCCGCACAAGCGGCGGAGCAUGCGGAUUAAUUCGAUGCAACGCGUAGAACCUUACCUGGGUUUGACAUGGAUCGGGAGUGCUCAGAGAUGGGUGUGCCUCUUUUGGGGUCGGUUCACAGGUGGUGCAUGGCUGUCGUCAGCUCGUGUCGUGAGAUGUUGGGUUAAGUCCCGCAACGAGCGCAACCCUUGUUCACUGUUGCCAGCACGUUAUGGUGGGGACUCAGUGGAGACCGCCGGGGUCAACUCGGAGGAAGGUGGGGAUGACGUCAAGUCAUCAUGCCCCUUAUGUCCAGGGCUUCACGCAUGCUACAAUGGCUGGUACAGAGAGUGGCGAGCCUGUGAGGGUGAGCGAAUCUCGGAAAGCCGGCCUCAGUUCGGAUUGGGGUCUGCAACUCGACCUCAUGAAGUCGGAGUCACUAGUAAUCGCAGAUCAGCAACGCUGCGGUGAAUACGUUCCCGGG